rnacentral:rRNA from 1 species
AGUCGAACGAAGCAUCCCAUAGAAGUUUUCGGAUGGAAUAUGGGAUGACUGAGUGGCGGACGGGUGAGUAACGCGUGGAUAACCUGCCUCACACUGGGGGAUAACAGUUAGAAAUGGCUGCUAAUACCGCAUAAGCGCACAGUACCGCAUGGUACGGUGUGAAAAACCCAGGUGGUGUGAGAUGGAUCCGCGUCUGAUUAGCCAGUUGGCGGGGUAACGGCCCACCAAAGCGACGAUCAGUAGCCGACCUGAGAGGGUGACCGGCCACAUUGGGACUGAGACACGGCCCAAACUCCUACGGGAGGCAGCAGUGGGGAAUAUUGCACAAUGGGCGAAAGCCUGAUGCAGCGACGCCGCGUGAGUGAAGAAGUAUCUCGGUAUGUAAAGCUCUAUCAGCAGGGAAGAAAAUGACGGUACCUGACUAAGAAGCCCCGGCUAACUACGUGCCAGCAGCCGCGGUAAUACGUAGGGGGCAAGCGUUAUCCGGAUUUACUGGGUGUAAAGGGAGCGUAGACGGCGAUGCAAGUCUGAAGUGAAAGCCCGGGGCUCAACCCCGGGACUGCUUUGGAAACUGUGUGGCUGGAGUGCAGGAGAGGUAAGUGGAAUUCCUAGUGUAGCCGGUGAAAUGCGUAGAUAUUAGGAGGAACACCACGUGGCGAAGGCGGCUUACUGGACUGUAACUGACGUUGA